rnacentral:rRNA from 1 species
UUGAACGCUGGCGGCAGGCCUAACACAUGCAAGUCGAACGGUAACAGGAAGAAGCUUGCUUCUUUGCUGACGAGUGGCGGACGGGUGAGUAAUGUCUGGGAAACUGCCUGAUGGAGGGGGAUAACUACUGGAAACGGUAGCUAAUACCGCAUAACGUCGCAAGACCAAAGAGGGGGACCUUCGGGCCUCUUGCCAUCGGAUGUGCCCAGAUGGGAUUAGCUAGUAGGUGGGGUAACGGCUCACCUAGGCGACGAUCCCUAGCUGGUCUGAGAGGAUGACCAGCCACACUGGAACUGAGACACGGUCCAGACUCCUACGGGAGGCAGCAGUGGGGAAUAUUGCACAAUGGGCGCAAGCCUGAUGCAGCCAUGCCGCGUGUAUGAAGAAGGCCUUCGGGUUGUAAAGUACUUUCAGCGGGGAGGAAGGGAGUAAAGUUAAUACCUUUGCUCAUUGACGUUACCCGCAGAAGAAGCCCCGGCUAACUCCGU